UACGUAGGGUGCAAGCGUUGUUCGGAAUUACUGGGCGUAAAGCGCGCGCAGGCGGGCUUGUAAGUCGAUUGUGAAAUCCCCGGGCUUAACCUGGGAACUGCGCUUGUUACUGGCAGGCUUGAGUGUGGCAGAGGGGGGUGGAAUUCCACGUGUAGCAGUGAAAUGCGUAGAGAUGUGGAGGAACACCGAUGGCGAAGGCAGCCCCCUGGGCUAACACUGACGCUCAUGCACGCAAGCGUGGGGAGCAAACCGG
rnacentral:rRNA from 1 species